rnacentral:rRNA from 1 species
CCUACGGGAGGCAGCAGUGAGGAAUAUUGGUCAAUGGACGAGAGUCUGAACCAGCCAAGUAGCGUGAAGGAUGACUGCCCUAUGGGUUGUAAACUUCUUUUAUAUGGGAAUAAAAUGUUCCACGUGUGGGAUUUUGUAUGUACCCUAUGAAUAAGGAUCGGCCAACUCCGUGCCAGCAGCCGCGGUAAUAAGGAGGAUCCGAGCGUUAUCCGGAUUUAUUGGGUUUAAAGGGAGCGUAGGUGGAUUGUUAAGUCAGUUGUGAAAGUUUGCGGCUCAACCGUAAAAUUGCAGUUGAAACUGGCAGUCUUGAGUACAGUAGAGGUAGGCGGAAUGCGUGGUGUAGCGGUGAAAUGCUUAGAUAUCACGAAGAACUCCGAUUGCGAAGGCAGCUCACUGGACUGCAACUGACACUGAGGCUCGAAAGUGUGGGUAUCGAACAGGAUUAGAUACCCCAGUAGUC